UACUGAGGUCUCGAGCGUUGUUCGGAUUCAUUGGGCGUAAAGGGUGCGUAGGUGGCGCUGUAAGUCGGGUGUGAAAUCCUGAGGCUUAACCUCGGAACUGCAUUCGAUACUGCGGCGCUUGAGGACUGGAGAGGAGACUGGAAUUCAUGGUGUAGCAGUGAAAUGCGUAGAGAUCAUGAGGAAGACCAGUGGCGAAGGCGGGUCUCUGGACAGUUCCUGACACUGAGGCACGAAGGCCAGGGGAGCAAACGGG
rnacentral:rRNA from 1 species